rnacentral:rRNA from 1 species
AAUGAACGCUGGCGGCAGGCCCAACACAUGCAAGUCGAACGGAUCCUUCGGGAUUAGUGGCGGACGGGUGAGUAACGCGUGGGAACAUACCCUUUGGUACGGAAUAGCCUCGGGAAACUGGGAGUAAUACCGUAUGUGGUCGAGAGACGAAAGAUUUAUCGCCAAAGGAUUGGCCCGCGUUGGAUUAGGUAGUUGGUGGGGUAAUGGCCUACCAAGCCGACGAUCCAUAGCUGGUUUGAGAGGAUGAUCAGCCACACUGGGACUGAGACACGGCCCAGACUCCUACGGGAGGCAGCAGUGGGGAAUAUUGGACAAUGGGCGAAAGCCUGAUCCAGCAAUGCCGCGUGAGUGAUGAAGGCCUUAGGGUUGUAAAGCUCUUUUACCAGGGAUGAUAAUGACAGUACCUGGAGAAUAAGCUCCGGCUAACUCCGUGCCAGCCGCCGCCGUAA